AGAGCGAACGCUGGCGGCAGGCUUAACACAUGCAAGUCGAGCGGGCGUAGCAAUACGUCAGCGGCAGACGGGUGAGUAACGCGUGGGAACAUACCUUUUGGUUCGGAACAACACAGGGAAACUUGUGCUAAUACCGGAUAAGCCCUUACGGGGAAAGAUUUAUCGCCGAAAGAUUGGCCCGCGUCUGAUUAGCUAGUUGGUGAGGUAACGGCUCACCAAGGCGACGAUCAGUAGCUGGUCUGAGAGGAUGAUCAGCCACAUUGGGACUGAGACACGGCCCAAAACUCCUACGGGAGGCAGCAGUGGGGAAUAUUGGACAAUGGGCGCAAGCCUGAUCCAGCCAUGCCGCGUGAGUGAUGAAGGCCCUAGGGUUGUAAAGCUCUUUUGUGCGGGAAGAUAAUGACGGUACCGCAAGAAUAACGCCCGGCUAACGUCGCGCCAGCAGCCGC
rnacentral:rRNA from 1 species